GCGGAAGUGCUGGAACAGGCAGACAGGCGAGACUUAGGAUCUCGUGCCGCAAGGCGUGAGGGUUCGAGUCCCUCCUUCCGCACCA
rnacentral:tRNA from 1 species